CCGGGGGCUGGGGGCCCGAGGCCGAGGCCGAGGCCGGCCCGCCCCGCGCGCGUCCCCCGCCCGGCGUCCCCCCGCGCAUUCCAGUCGUGCCACAGCCCGGCCAAGGCCCGGCCGCCGCCGGCAUGCUGGCGGGGACGCGGCGGGUCGGGCAGCAGCGGUCAGGCCUUGCCCGGGAAGGGUGUCUCCGGGGACCGCGACCCGCCCACCAGCCGAGGCCCUCCUAAGGAAGGAAGCCCCCUGCUAAGAAGCGGGCGGAGCGGGGGUGGAAAGGGGUCUCCUGGGACAGAGCGUCCCCGAGUGGGCCGGGAGCGGUUUGUGAGACGGGGCAGUGGGGACACUGUCCACGGUGAAACGAAUCGCAGCGGCCGUGAUUCGCAGCCUCCUGUUCCUGAGGCUGCUCCUCACGGGAAGAUCAUUUCAUGCGAGAGUUUAAGAAUUGGAAGUUGGUUCCAGAAGUGUCUCCAGUGACCUCGCAUCGCCCUAGGCGCGGUAGGAGAGCCAGGACGAGGGCCCUCGGCGCUGUGCAGCGUUCUGGAAAGUCUUGAAAGCCCACUAGGGCGACAAAGGUUCGAGGCCCGAGCGCUGUUAUGCAGGUCACUUGACUCAGUCCAGACCGAGAUGCCCCCCGCCCCGCAUCGCCGCCGCCAGGUUUUAUUCAGACUUUCGGAUAUAUCGUCAAAGUUCAACAUCUGGGAACAUAUUGGAAAGUCAUAUUUUUUAACUUGAAAUUAUACUUGGACAAGUCUGAGAAGAGCAAGAAUUUUUUCACAAGGUGUGAGAUGCUGAGCCAGCUGUGUAGUCAAUCACUUGUGCUCCUACCGUCUCAGUGUCCUGACUACUAAGGAGGGUUGGGCUACAG
rnacentral:lncRNA from 1 species